UACGUAGGGGGGCAAGCGUUGUCCGGAAUCAUUGGGCGUAAAGAGCGUGUAGGCGGCUUGGUAAGUCCGCUGUGAAAGUCCAGGGCUCAACCCUGGAAUGCCGGUGGAAACUGUCAAGCUUGAGUCCGGAAGAGGCGAGUGGAAUUCCUGGUGUAGCGGUGAAAUGCGCAGGAUAAUCAGGAGGAACACCAAUGGCGAAGGCAGCUCGCUGGGACGGUAGCUGACGCUGAGACGCGAAAGCGUGGGG
rnacentral:rRNA from 1 species